rnacentral:tRNA from 1 species
GAAUACAAAAUAGAUUAUCUAUGUCUGGUUACGGUUCAGUGAGAAUUGUAUUUU